rnacentral:rRNA from 1 species
CGCCUUGCCAGCCCGCUCAGAAACUUAAAGGAAUUGACGGGGGCCCGGCACAAGCGGCGGAGCAUGUGGAUUAAUUCGAUGCAACGCGAAGAACCUUACCUGGGUUUGACAUACACCGGAAAACCGUAGAGAUACGGUCCCCCUUGUGGUCGGUGUACAGGUGGUGCAUGGCUGUCGUCAGCUCGUGUCGUGAGAUGUUGGGUUAAGUCCCGCAACGAGCGCAACCCUUGUCUUAUGUUGCCAGCACGUGAUGGUGGGGACUCGUAAGAGACUGCCGGGGUCAACUCGGAGGAAGGUGGGGACGACGUCAAGUCAUCAUGCCCCUUAUGUCCAGGGCUUCACACAUGCUACAAUGGCCAGUACAGAGGGCUGCGAGACCGUGAGGUGGAGCGAAUCCCUUAAAGCUGGUCUCAGUUCGGAUCGGGGUCUGCAACUCGACCCCGUGAAGUCGGAGUCGCUAGUAAUCGCAGAUCAGCAACGCUGCGGUGAAUACGUUCCCGGGCCUU